AGUGGCGAACGGGUGAGUAAUACAUCGGAACGUGCCCAGACGUGGGGGAUAACGAGGCGAAAGCUUUGCUAAUACCGCAUACGAUCUAAGGAUGAAAGCAGGGGACCGCAAGGCCUUGCGCGUUUGGAGCGGCCGAUGGCAGAUUAGGUAGUUGGUGGGAUAAAAGCUUACCAAGCCGACGAUCUGUAGCUGGUCUGAGAGGACGACCAGCCACACUGGGACUGAGACACGGCCCAGACUCCUACGGGAGGCAGCAGUGGGGAAUUUUGGACAAUGGGCGAAAGCCUGAUCCAGCAAUGCCGCGUGCAGGACGAAGGCCUUCGGGUUGUAAACUGCUUUUGUACGGAACGAAAAGACACUGGCUAAUACCUGGUGUUGAUGACGGUACCGUAAGAAUAAGCACCGGCUAACUACGUGCCAGCAGCCGCGGUAAUACGUAGGGUGCGAGCGUUAAUCGGAAUUACUGGGCGUAAAGCGUGCGCAGGCGGUUUUGUAAGACAGAGGUGAAAUCCCCGGGCUCAACCUGGGAACUGCCUUUGUGACUGCAAGGCUAGAGUGCGGCAGAGGGGGAUGGAAUUCCGCGUGUAGCAGUGAAAUGCGU
rnacentral:rRNA from 1 species